UAAAACUGAAACAUCGACAAGCUAACAAGCUAAAGAGUGAAGUUCCGUGAUGUUUCAAUCGAGGAUUUGUACCGUCUACUGCCCCCUGAUUUGAUGCCACAGCUUCGACUCCAUGCAGCUCCUGUGUUUUGUCCACGUUUGGAAGCACCGAUCUGUGCGAACAGAUGUUUUCAAAAAUGAAUUUAAACAAGACCAAGACCAGAUCGUGAACCUACACGCCAUUUUGCGGGUUGCCACAGAAUAGAACUAAAACCAGACAUGGACGAACUGACCAGGGGAAAACGGUGCCAGACAUCCGGCCAGAAAACAUUGGUGCUGUAUGUUGUGUU